GGGUGCAAACGUUGUUCGGAAUUACUGGGCGUAAAGCGCGUGUAGGCGGCAGGGCAUGUCGGAUGUGAAAUCCCGUGGCUCAACCACGGAAGUGCACCCGAAACUGCCCAGCUUGAGUCUCGGAGAGGAAGGCGGAAUGCUUGGUGUAGAGGUGAAAUUCGUAGAUAUCAAGCGGAACACCGGUGGCGAAGGCGGCCUUCUGGACGAUGACUGACGCUGAGACGCGAAAGCGUGGGGAGCAAACAGG
rnacentral:rRNA from 1 species